AGAGCUUUCACCUCCACACGUACAGGAAGUACUCCGUGGCUUCUCUUUGGCACAUCCGGGAUGCAGCGUUACCACCCCCGCACUUUUGUGCCAUCGUUCGGUGACCAACGGUUACUUGAGCAGAAGCACUGUGUUGCCACCAACAGUCAACCUUACUACGGAGAUGGUUAUCAAUAGGCAGUCGGUGACUGGACCAAGACAUAAUUCACAGCCCAGGCGGCAUACAACUCAAAUAUUAUGAGGAGCUCACUCGGAACUUCACCAUCACUGGGAAUGGCUGCUGUUCUCCCUCAGGGGAGCACUGACCUUCACCAUGAGCAUCACUUCCUGGCUCCAAUGUGGAUCACUCAGACUGGUGGCACAAAUCCUUCACCCCACUGGCGCAGUUUUUCUGGCUUCCACCCCUGGCUUUGGACCUUCUGGGUGCAGAUCCUUGAUAUUAACAAACAUGAAUUGACGCCAAGGGCUCUAGGCCUCCAGCUGGACUCAUGCAGGACAUUGCAUUGGACUCGAGGCCUUCAGCUGCACUCAUGCGGGACAUUGCUUUAAGACCCAGGCCCUUCGCUAGAUGCUUUGGGUUUCUGGUGUGCAACUAAUCUCUUGUGCUCCUCUGCAUUUGACUUUUUGGGUGAAUAUUAUAAAAUAAUCCUAUAAAUUCUGUGUCCUGUAUUAAAUCUAUUCUUUUGCAAACCUUGACUACAACAACCAUCCACCAACUCAAAGUUGGCUCUACACUUUGCUUCCCUUUAGAACAAGGCAGAGAAGCAGAGGACUAACCAACUCACUUGAUCCUGGGUGAGGACAAUGCACAGAGUAAGGCCAGAGCAACCAGACCCCAUGACAGUUGACACUAAGACCAAUAGUCCACCUGAAGUUCCACUCUGCUGCCUACAUCCAGCAGAAACCAGAUGGCUGAUUGUGUUUUCCAACUCCCAACAGCAGCAACAAGAACAUGUCUUGGCCUCAAAUUUAACCAGAGUAAAUGGACAGGGAUCCUCUAAGAUAGAGAACUACAGAGGACACCAGAUGUGCUGUCACAAUUAUUGUUCAAUCCCCUCACUUUGUUUAGAGCAUGGUUUAUUAUUUCUGCUGCCAGAGAAUUUUCAGGGUGGAGGAGCUGUAAUUCAAGGAAGAUUCAAGCAGCAGAACACACUGGGGUUCUGCCCCCCCCAGGCUUCUGCUCUAGGAAUCAGGACUGCAUCUACUCUGAGGGAGAAAUGAAGUAAGAACUGAUGACUAGUUCUCCCUCUUUGUCUGUAAGUUCUACAUCUUUGGAUUCAACCAACCAUGAGUUGAAAAUGUCUA
rnacentral:lncRNA from 1 species